AAGAGUCUAAUAUUUAAGAAAAAGUUGAAAUACAGAAACUCUUCUAGUGAUGGAAUGAAGAAACCUAAGGGGUUUCAAGGCUUUGUAUCUAAUGGGAAAAAGAGUGGCUCAAAUGAGGGUACAAUAGUGGAAGGUGCAACUUUUGUUGAUGGUAAUAUGGGAGUGAAGGAUACCGAAAAACGGGUAGAUAAGAAAAUCAAGGAUAGUGUUUU
rnacentral:misc_RNA from 1 species